rnacentral:rRNA from 1 species
CCUACGGGAGGCAGCAGUGGGGAAUAUUGGACAAUGGGCGAAAGCCUGAUGCAGCCAUGCCGCGUGUGUGAAGAAGGCCUUCGGGUUGUAAAGCACUUUCAGUCGUGAGGAAGGUAGUGUAGUUAAUAGCUGCAUUAUUUGACGUUAGCGACAGAAGAAGCACCGGCUAACUCCGUGCCAGCAGCCGCGGUAAUACGGAGGGUGCGAGCGUUAAUCGGAAUUACUGGGCGUAAAGCGCAUGCAGGUGGUUUGUUAAGUCAGAUGUGAAAGCCCGGGGCUCAACCUCGGAAUUGCAUUUGAAACUGGCAGACUAGAGUACUGUAGAGGGGGGUAGAAUUUCAGGUGUAGCGGUGAAAUGCGUAGAGAUCUGAAGGAAUGCCGAUUGGGAAGCCAGCUCACUGGAUGAAUACUGACGCUGAAGCGCGAAAGCGUGGGGAGCAAACGGGAUUAGAUACCCCGGUAGUCCACGCCGUAAACGAUGAUCACUAAGUGUGGGGGGUCGAACCUCCGUGCUCAAGCUAACGCGAUAAGUGAUCCGCCUGGGGAGUACGCACGCAAGUGUGAAACUCAAAUGAAUUGACGGA